GGCGGACGGGUUUAGUAACGCGUGGGAACGUACCCAGAUCUAAGGAAUAGCCACUGGAAACGGUGAGUAAUACCUUAUACGCCCUUCGGGGGAAAGAUUUAUCGGAUUUGGAUCGGCCCGCGUUAGAUUAGGUAGUUGGUGGGGUAAUGGCCUACCAAGCCUACGAUCUAUAGCUGGUUUUAGAGGAUGAUCAGCAACACUGGGACUGAGACACGGCCCAGGCUCCUACGGGAGGCAGCAGUGGGGAAUCUUAGACAAUGGGCGCAAGCCUGAUCUAGCCAUGCCGCGUGAGUGAAGAAGGCCUUAGGGUUGUAAAGCACUUUCAGGGGUGAGGAAGGGUGACUGGCUAAUAUCCAGUUAUCUUGACGUUAGCCCCAGAAGAAGCACCGGCUAACUCUGUGCCAGCAGCCGCGGUAAUACAGAGGGUGCAAGCGUUAAUCGGAAUUACUGGGCGUAAAGCGCGC
rnacentral:rRNA from 1 species